UACGUAGGGUGCAAGCGUUGUCCGGAAUUAUUGGGCGUAAAGAGCUCGUAGGCGGUCUGUCACGUCGGCUGUGAAAUCCCGAGGCUCAACCUCGGGUCUGCAGUCGAUACGGGCAAACUAGAGUAUUGCAGGGGAGACUGGAAUUCCUGGUGUAGCGGUGGAAUGCGCAGAUAUCAGGAGGAACACCGAUGGCGAAGGCAGAUCUCUGGGCCGUAACUGACGCUGAGGAGCGAAAGCGUGGGGAGCGAACAGG
rnacentral:rRNA from 1 species